UGGGAAUUUUGGACAAUGGGCGAAAGCCUGAUCCAGCAAUGCCGCGUGUGUGAAGAAGGCCUUCGGGUUGUAAAGCACUUUUGUCCGGAAAGAAAUCCUUGGCUCUAAUACAGUCGGGGGAUGACGGUACCGGAAGAAUAAGCACCGGCUAACUACGUGCCAGCAGCCGCGGUAAUACGUAGGGUGCAAGCGUUAAUCGGAAUUACUGGGCGUAAAGCGUGCGCAGGCGGUUUGCUAAGACCGAUGUGAAAUCCCCGGGCUCAACCUGGGAACUGCAUUGGUGACUGGCAGGCUAGAGUAUGGCAGAGGGGGGUAGAAUUCCACGUGUAGCAGUGAAAUGCGUAGAGAUGUGGAGGAAUACCGAUGGCGAAGGCAGCCCCCUGGGCCAAUACUGACGCUCAUGCACGAAAGCGUGGGGGAGCAAAACAGGAUUAGAUACCCUGGUAGUCCACGCCCUAAACGAUGUCAACUAGUUGUUGGGGAUUCAUUUCCUUAGUAACGUAGCUAACGCGUGAAGUUGACCGCCUGGGGAGUACGGUCGCAAGAUUAAAACUCAAAGGAAUUGACGGGGUCAUAGCUGUUUCCU
rnacentral:rRNA from 1 species